rnacentral:sRNA from 1 species
GCUGGGCUUGGUGGCCCACGCCUGUAAUCCUAGCAGCUAGGAGGCCGAAACAGGAGGAUCACGAGUUGAAAGCCAGCCUCAGCAAAAGCGAGACGCUGAGCAAUUCAGUGAGACCCUGUCUCUA